rnacentral:rRNA from 1 species
GCUCAGAAACUUACGAGGAUGACGGGGGCCCGCACAAGCGGAGGAGCAUGUGGUUUAAUUCGAUGAUACGCGAGGAACCUUACCUGGGCUCGAACGUAAGAUGACUGUAGGUGAAAGCUUACAUCUCUUCGGAGCAUUUUACGAGGUGCUGCAUGGUUGUCGUCAGCUCGUGCCGUGAGGUGUCGGGUUAAGUCCCAUAACGAGCGCAACCCCUACCUUUAGUUGCCAUCAGGUUAAGCUGGGGACUCUAAAGGAACUGCCUACGCAAGUAGUGAGGAAGGUGGGGAUGACGUCAAGUCAUCAUGGCCCUUAUGUCCAGGGCGACACACGUGCUACAAUGGCCGGCACAGCGGGAAGCGAGGCAGUGAUGCCAAGCGGAUCCCUUAAAGCCGGUCUCAGUUCGGAUUGAAGUCUGCAACUCGACUUCAUGAAGCUGGAAUCGCUAGUAAUCGCAGAUCAGCCAAGCUGCGGUGAAUACGUUCCCGGGCCUU